AGGUGCUCCUGUGGUAAUGGGUGCUGAUGAGCCAGCCUUCGUGGCAGGGCUGUGGCUUUAUUUUAUGUCAGAAUUUGAGGCCUACGAUUUUCCCACUGUGAGUGCCUGUUUUAAAUGAUAAAAAGCGAUAUGAAAAUUAGUUUCCCUCCUUGUAUUAGAAUCACGUAUUGACUUUUGAUAUUUGUCUUUCUAUUCCUUUAGCAAGUGGGGUGUUGAUGCUGCUGCACGUAUCUCCCAUUUUGCCCUUCUGCUUUGUGUAAAAGAAUAGCAAAACAUGCCAUCUGUGUGUGCAAUUUCCUUGAAGUAUUUUACUUCAAGGUUCCCUAAACUUUGGAUCUGGGAGGUGACCACUCCUUUGUCUAUGAUGAAAGCCCAGCGGUGAUGCAGGCACUUGCUGAGGUCACAGUGGUUGCCGGGCUGGGAGCGUUUGUGCCCCAGCUGGGAGCAGAGCUGGUGCUGUAGUGAGCGUGGUGCACACUGAGACCGAGCUCUGUGCUUUCAUUGAGAGAUCUUCCUGUGAGAGCCCACUGGAAGCAGCGCUGCGGCGUGUGUGAGAGCUGGGCACAGCUGCGGCUGAGCAGUGGCCAGCAACACCAGCCGUGUGCUUGAAGGUGCAAAACUAUGGAGGAGAUGGAGAAGAACGCUUGCUGUCAGAACUCAUGGCAGCUGUACGGGAGCUGGAUGUAUUUUGGAGACAGUUGUCAUUAGCAGUUGGUUUUGAGUAUUGCCCUGCCCGAUAGCUUAAACUGCAGAGCAGAAGAAAGCUGGGAAAAUGCUUUUUCCUAUUUUUCCCCUGCAGGUUCUUUCUUCAGGGUUGGUUUACAAAAGGAGAUUUUGGGGACUGAGGCAGUUGAAGAGUGAAGCCAGCUCUUUCCAACAGCAGGGGGUCAGUCCCUGUGGAGAGGACCCCAGGAACGUGAGCUUCCUCUGAGACAUUCCCCAGCAUGUCCCAGCAGGGACACAGACGCGGUUCCCAUUCCUGCUUUGCGCGUGGAAAGAAGCAGCGCCGUGCUGUUCCCCAUGCUAGGGAGCAGCAGCCAGCAGGCUGCCCCAGUGCCAGCUGGGCCUUGCAGCGCGCAGAGGGACGCGAUGGGGAUGGACCAUCCUUAGCACCAUGCAAAAGGAUGGAGCCUGCGCGUCCAUGGAAUGGUGCUGGGCAUGGGGGGAAACGGAAAGCCUCCCCAGG